rnacentral:rRNA from 1 species
AAGAUCGUCAGCUGACCGGUUUUUAACGAUCCGCGCGCGCGGCGAAUAUCGAAUACCCAGGCAUACGCGUAUACCGUCCGACAAAGUCAGACCAGAGUGAGCGCGCGUCCUCGUCGCCGGGCGUGUAUAACGUACGACGCGCGCUUUCGCGCAACGUGUCCGCCACCACCUCUCCCGACGACGAUCGUUAAAUUAUCCUAUCACAUAUAAUAAAUAAAUAAAAUAAAAAACGCAGCCUCUUUUCGACUAUGUGGCUUUCCACCAAUCGAGGAUCAACGACGAGCGGGUCGCGACGUCCACGCGCGAGUCCUCCAACGCUCGCGCCGGCAGCAGUAAUCGCAAAUCGACGGCGACGCCUCGG